rnacentral:rRNA from 1 species
UACGUAGGGUGCAAGCGUUGUCCGGAAUUAUUGGGCGUAAAGAGCUCGUAGGCGGUCUGUUGCGUCGGCUGUGAAAACCCGGGGCUCAACUCCGGGCCUGCAGCCGAUACGGGCAGACUAGAGUUCGGCAGGGGAGACUGGAAUUCCUGGUGUAGCGGUGAAAUGCGCAGAUAUCAGGAGGAACACCGGUGGCGAAGGCGGGUCUCUGGGCCGAUACUGACGCUGAGGAGCGAAAGCGUGGGGGAGCGAACAGG